rnacentral:rRNA from 1 species
UUGCUCCCAUUUCUCAGCGGCGGACGGGUGAGUAACACGUGGGCAACCUGCCCUACAGACUGGGAUAACUCCGGGAAACCGGAGCUAAUACCGGGUAAUACAUAGCAUCGCAUGAUGCAACGUUGAAAGUUGGCCUUUGGCUAACACUGUAGGAUGGGCCCGCGGCGCAUUAGCUAGUUGGUAAGGUAACGGCUUACCAAGGCCACGAUGCGUAGCCGACCUGAGAGGGUGAUCGGCCACACUGGGACUGAGACACGGCCCAGACUCCUACGGGAGGCAGCAGUAGGGAAUCUUCCGCAAUGGACGAAAGUCUGACGGAGCAACGCCGCGUGAGUGACGAAGGCCUUCGGGUCGUAAAGCUCUGUUGUUAGGGAAGAACAAGUACCGUUCGAAUAGGGCGGUACCUUGACGGUACCUAACCAGAAAGCCACGGCUAACUACGUGCCAGCAGCCGCGGUAAUACGUAGGUGGCAAGCGUUGUCCGGAAUUAUUGGGCGUAAAGCGCGCGCAGGCGGUCUCUUAAGUCUGAUGUGAAAGCCCACGGCUCAACCGUGGAGGGCCAUUGGAAACUGGGGGACUUGAGUGCAGAAGAGGAGAGUGGAAUUCCACGUGUAGCGGUGAAAUGCGUAGAUAUGUGGAGGAACACCAGUGGCGAAGGCGGCUCUCUGGUCUGUAACUGACGCUGAGGCGCGAAAGCGUGGGGAGCGAACAGGAUUAGAUACCCUGGUAGUCCACGCCGUAAACGAUGAGUGCUAGGUGUUGGGGGGGUUCCACCCUCAGUGCUGAAGUUAACACAUUAAGCACUCCGCCUGGGGGAGUACGACCGCAAGGUUGAAACUCAAAGGAAUUGACGGGGGCCCGCACAAGCAGUGGAGCAUGUGGUUUAAUUCGAA